AUACGUAGGGGGCGAGCGUUGUCCGGAAUGAUUGGGCGUAAAGGGCGCGUAGGCGGCCCGGUAAGUCUGGAGUGAAAGUCCUGUUUUUAAGAUGGGAAUUGCUUUGGAUACUGUCGGGCUUGAGUGCAGGAGAGGUAAGUGGAAUUCCCAGUGUAGCGGUGAAAUGCGUAGAGAUUGGGAGGAACACCAGUGGCGAAGGCGACUUACUGGACUGUAACUGACGCUGAGGCGCGAAAGCGUGGGGAGCAAACAGGAUUAGAUACCCUGGUAGUCCACACUGUAAACGAUGAAUGCUAGGUGUAGGGGGUAUCGACCCCUUCUGUGCCGCAGUCAACACAAUAAGCAUUCCGCCUGGGGAGUACGGCCGCAAGGUUGAAACUCAAAUGAAUUGACGGGG
rnacentral:rRNA from 1 species